RRKKCGCCCUUAGAGUUUGAUCCUGGCUCAGAACGAACGCUGGCGGCGUGCUUAACACAUGCAAGUCGAACGUGAUUCAGAGCUUGCUCUGAUGAAAGUGGCGCACGGGUGAGUAACGCGUGGAUAACCUGCCCUGGUAUCUGGGAUAACAUCUCGAAAGGGGUGCUAAUACCGGAUAAGCCUACGGGCUCUUCGGAGUCUGCAGAAAAAGGAGGCCUCUAUUUAUAAGCUACCGUAUCAUGAUGGGUCCGCGUACCAUUAGCUAGUUGGUGGGGUAAUGGCCUACCAAGGCGACGAUGGUUAGCUGGUCUGAGAGGAUGAUCAGCCACACUGGAACUGAGACACGGUCCAGACUCCUACGGGAGGCAGCAGUGGGGAAUUUUGCGCAAUGGGGGAAACCCUGACGCAGCAACGCCGCGUGAGUGAUGAAGGCUUUCGGGUCGUAAAGCUCUGUCAGAGGGGAAGAAAUGAAACGUGCUAAUAUCACGUUUUCUUGACGGUACCCUCAAAGGAAGCACCGGCUAACUCCGUGCCAGCAGCCGCGGUAAUAC
rnacentral:rRNA from 1 species